GAUGAACGCUAGCGGGAGGCCUAACACAUGCCAGCCGAGCGGUAUGGAUAGCUUGCUAUCCAGAGAGCGGCGUACGGGUGCGUAACACGUGUGCAACCUACCUUUAUCUGGGGGACAGCCUUUCGAAAGGAAGAUUAAUACCCCAUAAUAUAAUGAUUGGCAUCAAUUAUUAUUGAAAACUCCGGUGGAUAGAGAUGGGAACGCGCAAGAUUAGAUAGUUGGUGAGGUAACGGCUUACCAAGUCAAUGAUCUUUAGGGGUCCUGAGAGGGAGAUCCCCCACACUGGUACUGAGACACGGACCAGACUCCUACGGGAGGCAGCAGUGAGGAAGAUUGGAGGAUGGGUGAGAGCCUGAUCCAGCCAUCCCGCGUGAAGGAGGACGGGCCUAGGGAUUGUAAACUUCUUUUGUACAGGGAUAAACCUACCCUCGUGAGGGUAGCUGAAGGUACUGUACGAAUAAGCACCGGCUAACUACGUG
rnacentral:rRNA from 1 species